UCGGGUCAUAGCAGUAUCUUUUACAUUAUAAGUUUAAUAGGGUCUCCUGAAAACUCAAUUCUCGCUAAAAGUAUGUAAACAACUAGGACAGUGAUAGAAAGUAGUCUGCCCCUCAUCUGCUGAUCUCAUUUGUCUGGUGGAAAAUUUAAGCUUUGUGUUGCUGCAUUUUUCACAUUUCUUAUUUAUCUCCAUGUCUUUCACCUCCAUCUUUCCUUCAAAAUGUGAGAUACCCAGAUCCCUUCUCAUAUCCUCA
rnacentral:misc_RNA from 1 species